CGAACGCUGAAACAUAAACAUUUUUUGUGUGUAUUUAUUUAUUUUACAUUUAAUAUUUAUUUCAUAUUUUUUGGGAAAUAUUUGUAUUUGAGAAUAUUUUGAUUAUUUUCUGCAUACUUGAUAUAUACUGGAAAAUUGUAAAAUUAACGUCACUUGACCACGUCAUCAGUUAGGUCAUCACAUGGUCUCGUGCAUUUGGUCAGUAAGUUUCUUUUUUGGACAAAGACAGCGUGUGCAUGAGCAAGCGGCACAUGAAAAGACAAAGGACUGAAAUAGUGGAGAAAUGGACAUUUAGCAACUCCUAACCUUCUGGUUGGAGGGGCACACGGUAUGGACAUUUGAUUUAAAUAAUUUGUAUGUGUGUAAGAUAUGUUUUUGCUUUAAUAUUUCUGUAAUAAGUUUGAACUAAGUGAUUCAUGAAACAUGACGGUUUCACUGAUGUAUAUUUGCCACCGUGUAUUCUAUUGCAGUGUUCACGGUGGUCUUGGGCGUUUUAAGACAAAUAUGCUGUAAUAAACGUUUGAACCAUCAGUCGGAGCGUUGCGCAUUCAUCCACCAGUAAAGAAAAGUUGGGAGCAGCUACAGUGAACACGUUAACCACGCGUGUGCAGCUCAGCCCGAGGCCAGAGAACAUCGAGGGAUUUCACGCGCUGAAGGCAUGCUGUGAACUCGUCAAGCCACUUCGAGAUGGACGAGAGAGGGGAAGAAAAGACCGUCGCGGCCUGAAGAUGACAGCUCGUCGGCACGAAUGAAGACAUCGAAAGCUUCAAGAAAAAACAGCUCGUCUGCCGACCUCGGAAAGCUACGCGGAGCCUUGCAACUGCGGUGAAUUGCAACACAUGGCGUCGGCUCUGCCUCGAGGACACGGAUUGAGACUGUGCCGUUUCCGCAAAUCGCCUCAAGAGAGCAAGAACGUGCCGUGGUCGUGAGUGGAUUCAGCAAGCCCUUGGCUCUCAGGUUUCAACAGUGAAUAAGAAACGAACAUUGUAACUUGUACAUAUUUAAAUAAUUGUGAAAGGCCAUUGUGUGCAUAUUUUAUGUGAAUGUUUUAAGCCUUUGUUAAUAGGUCAUUUUACAUUCAAGCCUAUUCUGUUUUUCUUGUUUGGCUUAACAUAUGUGUGACGAAUAUUUGAAUUUAAUUGUGAGGAUUAUUUGUAGUAUAAGUUCUACAAAACGGUUUAAGAUUUAAUUACUACUUCAUAGUAAAUUACAAUAGUUAAGAAAAUGGAUAAAGAUAAAGAAAGGGCUCUUGUGCUUGAGGGAGUAAAACAGGCUCUUGAAGAAGAGAAAUUAGAAUUACAAACCAAAUUAGAAACUGAAACAGAUGCAGAAAUAAGAGAAGAAAUAACAAACCGUCUGACUGAAAUUGACAUUAGUCUGCAAACUCAAAAUGUAGAGAGCGAGGAACCAACUUUUCAACCUGAAGAAACAAAUCAACCUGAGCAAUUUAGGCGAUCAGCAAGAGAGCGAAAACCAACUGAAAAGCAGCUGGCCUAUAUUAAAGAUGAGAGUGAUAAAAAGGAAAGAAAGUUUAUGUUAACUUAUGCAAGCUUUAAAGGUGAGGUUCAGUACACCAGGAGCAAACUUAAAGAAGAAUGUGACAAAGAGAAACUUGAAGCUAUGAUCACUACUUUGGAAGAAUAUGAGUCACACUUAAAGCAGGUGUAUGAGGGCUUACGUUCAUUGACAACACCAAGUCAAGAUAUAAGAAGGCGAAUGGAUAGCUGUACUUCAGUAACUAAAGAAGUAGUUGCUCUACUGAAAAUGCGUUGCUCAGAAGUAGGCAAAGAGUUUGAUGCUGCUGCAAGAAAUGAAUCACUCGUUAAAUUACUUCAGAGAGAAGAAGCGAGAUCGAUAUAUGGAUCCACUGUAUCAAGGGCUGGUGCAGAUAGUGUAGCAGAAAGUCAGGUGUCAAUAAAGAGAGCAGAAGCAGCAGCACGCUUAGCGUCAAAACGUGCGGAAAUAAACAGAGAAAGUGAAAUUGCUGCUCAAAGAAAGGAAGUGUUUGAACAGCAAGAAAAAUUGAAAAUGCUGGAAAAUCAAAGAGAUCUGGAAGCUAUGCAAGCUGAAUAUGAUGUUUAUGCAGAGGAGGAAACAAGAAUGAAUACGGAAAUAGGAGAAAAGAAAGAAGUAACUCUGCCUCCAAAUCAGUCACAAGGAGAAAAGAAAGAAAUAACUCUGUCUCCAAAUAAGCUCCGAACAUGGCAUAAUACAGCUUCACAUGCUCAGAUUCCCCAGGGCAAAUCAGACACUCCUCAUUCUGAAAAAGAAUCAGAGCAAAAAUUGAGUGAAACUUCACUAGUACAAGCCUUCAAAGACUCUCUGAUAAUGACAAGACUUCCGGCACCUGAGCCAUCCGUGUUUACUGGUGAUCCUCUCAAAUUCACUGAAUGGAGAACCAGCUUUAAAGCGUUGAUUGAGACUUCCUGUACAAACUCAGCACAUAGACUGUUUUAUCUCAGAAAAUACAUAAGCGGAGAUGCACUGUCUGUGCUAGAAGGAACUUUUUACAGAAGUGAUGAUGAAGCAUAUACACAAGCAUGGGAUGCACUGAACAAGCGCUAUGGCCACCCAUUCAUAGUGCAAAGAGCCUUCAGAGGUAAACUUAGUAGCUGGCCCAAGAUAGGACCAAAAGAGCCACUAAAAUUAAGAGAGUUCAGUGAUUUCCUUGUGUCAUGCAAAAAUGCAAUGCCUCACAUAUCAGGUCUGAAAGUGCUGGAUGAUUGUGAGGAGAAUCAAAGGCUGCUCCAGAAACUUCCUGACUGGGCAACAGCACGAUGGAAUCGAAUUGUCACCAAAGAAUUGGAUGAUGGCAAGCCAUAUCCAAGCUUUGAAGAGUUCUCCAAAUUCUUAGCAGAGGAGGCUCGCAUUGCCUGUAACCCGGUGUCCUCACUUCAUGCCUUGAAAGGGACAGAGGAGAAAGCAGGCACAGAAGUGAAACGCAUCAAAGCCAGAACCCUAGUAACAACAACAAAGGUUGCUCAAGGGAAAGCUAAGGAUUCAGGUGAAUCAGCAGGCUCGACAGUUAAUCCAUCUGCAGCUCAAGCUAAGAAGCAAAUAAAAUGCAUAUGUUGUCAGCAGAACCACUUUAUUUACAAAUGUGAGAGGUUUGCUGCUCUGACUCUUGAUGAGAAGAAAGCGUUUGUCAAAACCAACAAUAUGUGCUUUGCUUGCUUGAGAGUUGGCCAUGUUGCAAAAGAUUGCCGGAAAAGGGCUACUUGCAAUGUUUGUAGAAAAAGCCAUCCAACUCCAUUGCAUGACGAACCGGCUCAAGAAGAAAAGCCUGAAGCAGGUCAACAGCAAGACAGUUCCUCUACUGCUUUGUGUAGUGUGAACAUGACCAAUUCUGACCACACAUCAAUGAUAGUCCCAGUGUGGCUGUCUAGUGAUGUCAAAAAUAGCCCAGAAAUAUUAGUAUAUGCUUUGCUAGACACACAAAGUAGCAAUACAUUUGUUUCUGAAGAUGUGUGUGAAAAACUUGAGGCACACACUGAACCUAUUAAGCUCAAGUUGUCAACAAUGACUGGCAGGUCAAUAGUGAAUUGUCACAGAGCCAUUGGGUUAAAGGUCAGAGGAUACAGUUCCAAAGAAUGCAUUGAAUUACCACCAGCAUACACUCGAGAAGAUAUCCCGUUGGAGAAAACCAGCAUUCCAACUCGGGAAACAGCCAAGGCAUGGACACACUUGCUUAGUAUAGCUGAUGAGAUGCCAGAGUUACUAGCCUGUCCUGCUGGACUGCUAAUAGGCUACGACUGUUGCAGAGCUCUGAAGCCUAAGGAAGUUGUGUCAGGAGCUGAACAUGAGCCAUAUGCAGUGAAAACACACCUCGGGUGGAGUGUGGUUGGUGCCAAAACGCCUACUACUGGUGCACUAACAAAUGCUGGAUUCUGCUAUCGCAUCUCUGUGAAAGAAAUUCCACCUAUUACUCCUGCAUGUGCAAUUAAGGCUCUUGAGAAAGAUUUUCAGGAUACAAAUCCUACAGAUGGAACAAUCUCUCAAGAAGAUAUUCAGUUCUUGCAAAUACUGAAUGAGGGAAUUCAUCACAAUGACAAUGGUCAUCUAGAGAUGCCUCUACCCUUUAGAGAGCGACCUCAACUGCCUAACAACAAACAUCUAGCAACAGUUAGGCUGAAACAUUUGAAAGGGAAGAUGGAUAAAAAUCCCAAAUACAAGUCGGACUAUGUACAGUUCAUGGCCAAUGUUUUCAAAGAUGGUGAUGCAGAGGAAGUCCAUGCAACACCUAAAGAAGGGAAUACCUGGUACAUUCCACACCAUGGUGUGUACCACCCGCGAAAACCAGAGAAGAUAAGAGUGGUCUUCGACUGUUCGGCCAAAUACGAAGGCACUUCAUUAAAUGAUCACCUCCUCACGGGACCUGAUUUAACCAAUGCCUUGACUGGAGUGCUGUGUCGGUUCCGACAAUAUCCAAUUGCAAUCAACUGCGAUGUGCAGAAAAUGUUCCAUCGCUUUCAUGUUACUCCAGAAGAUAGGGAUUUCAUGAGGUUCCUGUGGUGGGAGAAUGGGAACACAAUGACUGAGCCGAAAGAGUACCGCAUGAGGGUGCACAUAUUUGGUGCGGCAUCAUCGCCAGGAUGUGCGAAUUACGGCAUGAAAUACCUCGCCACCAAGUAUGAGCAUGAGUACCCCAUGGCUGCAAGCUUCAUCCGUAAGAACUUUUAUGUGGAUGAUGGACUUGCUAGUCUGGAUACAGUUGAAAAAGCCAAGCAACUUGUUCAUGAAGCAAGAGAAGUCUGUCAGAAGGGACAUCUGCGACUGCACAAGUUUGUUUGCAAUAACAGAGCUGUCCUGGAGACCAUUCCAGAAAGUGAGCGCGCUGUAGAAGUCAAAGAUGUGGACUUGAACUACACAGAACUGCCAGCUCAGAGAGUGCUAGGAGUGAAGUGGAACAUAGAAAUGGAUGUCUUUUCAUUCAAUGUUGUCCACCAAGAAAGAACAGCCACUCGCCGAGGCAUCUUAUCCACAGUCGCUACCUUAUACGAUCCGCUAGGAUUUCUGGCCCCUUACAUCUUGACUGGGAAAAGAAUCUUGCAAGAAAUGUGCAAGCGAGGUGUCGGCUGGGAUGAGCCUGUCCCGCCAGAACUAAAGCCAAAGUGGGAGACAUGGCUCAAUGACCUCUACAAUCUUCAAAACAUCCAAAUAACAAGGUGCUUUGUUCCCAGCUAUAUUGGCACGAUCCAGAAGAUUGAGCUGCAUCACUUUUCUGAUGCCAGUAAUGAUGGCUAUGGGCAGUGCUCAUAUAUCAGGGUAGUAGCUGAGGAACAGGUGCAUUGCACUUUAGUUAUGGCUAAGGCUAGGGUAGCACCCAUGAAGAUUGUGAGCAUCCCACGUCUGGAGCUCACUGCUGCCACAAUCUCUGCAGCCGUAAGCAAGAUUCUCAGAGAAGAGCUUGACCUGAGGAUAGAUGAAGAGUACUUUUGGACGGAUUCGCAAGUCGUAUUGGCUUACAUCAAAAACGAUGCCCGUCGAUUCCAUGUUUUCGUAGCGAAUCGGAUACAAAAGAUCAGAGAUGCUACUGACCCCAAUCGAUGGUUUUACAUUGAGACAAGUCAAAAUCCGGCAGAUCAUGCAUCUAGAGGACUCAAGGUGGCAGAUCUAAUGGCAUCAGAUUGGCUAACAGGACCCAAGUUCUUGUGGGAACAAGAAAUUGUGACCAAUCCAACAUCCCCAGAGCUUCUCAUAGGUGAUCCAGAGGUCAAAGUCUUGAAAACUGAUGUUGCGGAGCAAGACGACCUCCUGGAAAGAUUGGCAAGAUUUUCAGACUGGGUCACAUGCCUUAAUGUGGUUGCUCGAAUCCAGAGGUUGGCUCAUAGGGACAUAUCUGGGCCUGUUACUUUCGAAGAGCGAAAGAAAGCGACUCUCGUGCUGAUCAAGGCAGCACAAAAGGAAGCAUUUGGAGAAGAGCUCAAACUGCUGAGCCAAUCACAAAAACUCAGGAAAACUCAUAAUAUGUAUGAGCUUGACCCAUUUCUUGAGGACGGAGUGCUCAGAGUUGGUGGCAGGUUAAGAAAGUCAUCAGCGUCGCUGGAGUUCAAACAUCCCGUCAUACUUCCGAAAGAAGGCAUUGUAACACAACUAAUACUUGACCAUUGCCAUAAAAGAACACAACAUCAAGGCCGAGGACAAACACUGAACGAACUCAGAGCCAGUGGCUACUGGAUAAUGGGUGCCAGCAAGGUUGUGGCCAGGCACAUCAAGAGUUGUGUGACAUGUAGGAGAGUGCGGGGCCGAACUGAAGAACAGCGCAUGGCUGACUUGCCUGUUGAUAGACUAGAGCCGUCUCCUCCUUUCCUUUACACAGGCAUUGACUGUUUUGGCCCUUUCUACACAAAACAAGGAAGAAAGGAGUUCAAACGGUAUGGGUUGUUGUUAACAUGCUUAAGCUCACGGGCCAUUCAUAUUGAGAUGCUCGAGGACCUGACAACCGAUGCAUUUCUAAAUGCAUUGCGAUGCUUCAUAGCAAUAAGAGGAACAGUCAGACAAAUCAGAUCUGACCAAGGUACGAAUUUCUUAGGGGCAAAGAAUGAGAUGAGAAAGUGCUUGUUGGAACUUGACAAGGAAAGGAUCGCGACUUAUCUCGCAAGAAAGGAAUGUGACUUCCUUAUGAAUGUUCCCGAAGCUAGUCAUAUGGGAGGCAUAUGGGAGCGUCAGAUACGCACAACCAGGAGUGUGAUGAGCUCUGUCCUUGCUCAGGCAAAAGGUCGACUGGAUGACUCCUCACUAAGAACUUUCUUCUAUGAGGCCAUGUCCAUAGUCAACAGUCGCCCACUGACAACUAACACGCUCUCUGAUCCCAAAAGUAUUGCACCAUUGACACCCAACCACUUGCUUACAUUGAAACCUACGGUACCUCUUCCACCUCCAGGAAAGUUUCUUCCAGAAGAUCUGUAUGCAAGAAAAAGAUGGCGCAAAGUACAGUAUCUCUCAGAACUGUUCUGGAGCAGGUGGCGACGAGAAUACUUAGCCAACAUCAGCCUUCGACAGCAGUGGCAUACAACCAGACGAAAUGUGCAGGUUGGAGAUGUAGUCCUUAUUAGGGAUGAAAACACACCUAGAAAUGAGUGGCCACUAGCUAAAGUUGUUGAGGCACAAGAAGACGAUGAUGGUCUCGUAAGAAAGGUGAAAAUACAAGUAGGUCAAAGUAAGUUAGGACCUAAAGGUGAGCGCUUAACACAACCUUCAUUUCUUGAGCGCCCAGUCCAGAAAUUAGUUAUGUUAGUUGAAAAUAGGUCAAAAUAGCUUCACAUUAAAAUAAGAAUGAGAAUAAUCAGUCUCCUAAUUUAGCAAUCUAUUCAUUAGAAUUUAUGGGUAAAAAUUUAGUUUCAAGUUAUUGGAAAAUUACAAGUUUUAUUUCUUUGAAUAUGGUGAAAGUAAACCUUUUGUAAUUUUGGUGGCAGUGUAGCGAACGCUGAAACAUAAACAUUUUUUGUGUGUAUUUAUUUAUUUUACAUUUAAUAUUUAUUUCAUAUUUUUUGGGAAAUAUUUGUAUUUGAGAAUAUUUUGAUUAUUUUCUGCAUACUUGAUAUAUACUGGAAAAUUGUAAAAUUAACGUCACUUGACCACGUCAUCAGUUAGGUCAUCACAUGGUCUCGUGCAUUUGGUCAGUAAGUUUCUUUUUUGGACAAAGACAGCGUGUGCAUGAGCAAGCGGCACAUGAAAAGACAAAGGACUGAAAUAGUGGAGAAAUGGACAUUUAGCAACUCCUAACCUUCUGGUUGGAGGGGCACACGUGUUCACGGUGGUCUUGGGCGUUUUAAGACAAAUAUGCUGUAAUAAACGUUUGAACCAUCAGUCGGAGCGUUGCGCAUUCAUCCACCAGUAAAGAAA